rnacentral:rRNA from 1 species
AGAGUUUGAUCAUGGCUCAGAUUGAACGCUGGCGGCAUGCUUAAUACAUGCAAGUCGAACGGUAACAGAUUCUUCGGAAUGCUGACGAGUGGCGGACGGGUGAGUAAUACAUAGGAAUCUGCCCAUGUAGUGGGGGACAACUUGGGGAAACUCAAGCUAAUACCGCAUAAUUCCUACGGGAUAAAGAGGGCCACUGCUUGCAAGCUCUUGCUACUGGAUGAGCCUAUGUCGGAUUAGUUAGUUGGUAAGGUAAUGGCUUACCAAGACAGCGAUCCGUAGCUGGUUUGAGAGGAUGAUCAGCCACACUGGGACUGAGACACGGCCCAGACUCCUACGGGAGGCAGCAGUAGGGAGUAUUGGACAAUGGGCGCAAGCCUGAUCCAGCAAUGCCGCGUGUGUGAAGAAGGCCUGCGGGUUGUAAAGCACUUUCAAUUGGGAAGAAAGAUUAUGAGUUAAUACCUUAUAAUAUUGACGUUACCAAUACAAGAAGCACCGGCUAACUCUGUGCCAGCAGCCGCGGUAAUACAGAGGGUGCGAGCGUUAAUCGGAAUUACUGGGCGUAAAGAGUACGUAGGUGGUUAAAUCAGUCGGAUGUGAAAGCCCCAGGCUUAACUUGGGAAUUGCAUUCGAUACUAUUUGACUAGAGUACGGUAGAGAGAAGUGGAAUUCCUAGUGUAGCGGUGAAAUGCGUAGAUAUUAGGAAGAACACCCAGUGGCGAAGGCGGCUUCUUGGAUCGAUACUGACACUGAGGUACGAAAGCGUGGGGGAGCAAACAGGAUUAGAUACCCCUGGUAGUCCACGCCCUAAACGAUGAGAACU